rnacentral:rRNA from 1 species
GACGAACGCUGGCGGCGUGCUUAACACAUGCCAGUCGAACGGAAAGGCCCCUUUGGGGGUACUCGAGUGGCGAACGGGUGAGUAACACGUGAGUAACCUGCCCUUGACUUCGGGAUAACUUCAGGAAACUGGGGCUAAUACCGGAUAGGAAUCCUUGCUGCAUGGUGGGGGUUGGAAAGCUUCGGCGGUUUUGGCUGGACUCGCGGCUUAUCGGCUUGUUGGUGGGGUAGUGGCUUACCAAGGCGUUGACGGGUAGCCGGCCUGAGAGGGCGACCGGCCACAUUGGGACUGAGAGACGGCCCAGACUCCGACGGGAGGCAGCAGGGGGGAAUAUUGCACAAGGGGCGGAAGCCGGAUGCAGCAACGCCGCGUGCGGGAUGACGGCCUUCGGGUUGUAAACCGCUUUCAGCAGGGGCGAAGCUUGUGGUGACGGUACCUGCAGAAGAAGCACCGGCUAACUACGUG